rnacentral:lncRNA from 1 species
GAUAGAUGCCAAGGCCAGACAGUCGUUCCUGGUAUGGUACUGACCACAAUUUCGGGCUCUUAGUGUGAAGGUGCGCACUCUACCUCUUUUCUGGUGAAGCACAAAGACAACUACAACUAACACAUGGGAAACAGAAACUUCCCUCCCUCUAGUGGAAACCCCCACGCCCCCACUUGCCCUUUGAGCCCACAUCUCCAGAGAUGCUGAUGAUGCCUGUCUUAAGCCAUCUGCCAUAUUUAUAAAGGUGGAUUAAGCAGAGGAGGAGAAAAGCAAUGCCAACUUAAAUGUCUGUGGCCCCACAAUUCACAAGCACUGUAGCACUCAUCCUCAGUGGCUUUAUACGUCCUCUGAGAAGCACACAGGCAGGCAUCAUUCUUGCCAUCAUUCCGAUGGUGAAAUCCCUGCAUGCAGAACUCAUUGACUUCUCAAAGAUGUUACCUGUUCCAUUCCACUAAUACAUGUCUUCUCUAAAGCAGUGUCUUUAUGACCUAGCUGCAUAUACUUACAUUUCUGAAUUCAGAGUAAUUUCAGUACAUUGCUGCUGCUGCUGCUGCUGCUGCUGCUGCUGCUGCUGCUGCUACUGCUACAUUACAAUUGUCCACUAAGCAAUCAGAGAAAAUUGCUAAAAGCUUCUUUACUGCUUCCAUUCCAUCAGCAGAACCUUUUUUUUUCUUUCUUUCUUUUAAAGACCAGAAUGAAUGUUUAGAGUACUAAAUCUUAUUAGUGGUCAAUUGAAGUAUUGGAGAGCCACAUUUUGAAGGUUCUCUCCCCCACCCAACUCCAUUCCCCACAGCAAGAAAGGGAGUGUUUUUAUAUGUUGAAUUCUUUGUUAAAAAGAUGAAAUGUCCUGAUUUUCCAGUCACAAGACAGUAAUUACUUUGCACAUACAGCAUAUCCCAUUUUAAUGCUAAAAAGGGAAAUGUCACUCAAUUUAAUUCAUCUGGAAGUUUCCCAGUGUCAAGAUAACAUUGUAGCCUUUUUAAAUGCAAUUAAAUGUAUCUCUUGUCAGGUGAGAUGAUUUAAAAUCUUUGCUCAGAGAGGAAAACAAAUGGUUGACCUACUUCUUGCUAUUUGCAUUCAGAAGGCAUCGUCCCAGCCCAUCCUAUUGGUGGCAGAAUAUCUAAAGAUGUCGCAAAGUCCCCCACUGCAGUAGAAAUGCAGGAGGUGUUCCUGUUCCCCGUCCAAUUCCUUCUUAGGCUGCUAGAGACAGCCAGUGGGCCAAGCCUUCCCCUGUGCUCCAGGCAGGCCUGGGCUGCAGCUACUGUUACCUUUUUACAGCCUUUGAUCUGAUCGCUGCAGAGUUCUUUUGUUUUUAAAUCACUUGUAUUUGUCUCUUCAUUAAGGCUUCAAGUUUAUUUCUUGAAAAAGUUUAGUCAAUUGAACCACCCUCCAGGAAGAUUCCCAGCGUGGAAACUGCCCCUGAAAAACAAGGCAGCCCAAAGCCAGCUCUCUUUUGUCCCCCACUGAUGUCAUGUCCUUUUUUUUUUUCAUUUCAGGCCAGUUUCUUAACUUGGGGCAAAGAGAAUGUGUUGCUAAAGCUACCAAGAAAACUGCUUGAUUAACAAAUUCUUAAUAGAAAUGCCUCCCACACUGUCUCUUUGAAAAGAGAAGGCACCUUGGAAUCGGCAUUCCAAAACCAAGCUCCUUGUCAUCCUCAUCCCUCCUCCUUCUUGCUUCCUAUUAUCAAACUCGUGUGUGUUUCUUGUUUUCUCAGAACUGAACACAGCCUCCUAAUUCCAUCCUCUUGACUAGGGCUUACAAUACUGAGAGCGAUUACAGGCUGUAAUAAGUUAAAGGUCCCUGAGCGUGGCUUUCUUGUUCUGCGCCUCUAAUUAAUUCUUCUAUUAAAAGAUGCUUUCCUUCUCACUGCAGCUUACAGAAAGGCUACAAGCUUUAAUCACAGAUCAUUUCAUUUGCCAGAGCCUUUCCUUUUCUAACUCCUUUAGAAAUAAGAUUUCCCUCUCUGUUUGGAAUCUCUGGAUACAGGACUCUCCUCCAAGCUCAUGGCUUGAUUGGCUUUGCCUGUGCACACACACAUCAGUUUGCCUUAAACUUGGAGCUAUGGGGAGUCCCAGAUUUUCCAGCUUAGUGGGUGAAGUUUAGCUGUCACCUACAUCCAGGAAGUGGGGGAAAAGGGAAAAAAAGAGGAUAUUCACCACCAUGUUCCCAUCCGGUCUUUCCCCUGCCUUGCUUUGUGCAGCAGGUGGGCAGACAGAGCCCACAGAAACAGAAGUAGAAAGAGGGCCGCACCAUCUCUGGGGCCAGCACUCCUAAGUCUUAGCUCUUUGUGGGAAUAGAAAAUCCUGAGCUCCCACCACCUCUCGUCUGACCCUCCAUCAACUCCCUCGAACCUGUGCAAAUGGACUGAGCAAAAGAAAAUGGAAAGAGAUGUUUGUCACCACACAGGAGACCUCCUUUCUGGCCCCAAGCACAACUCCAUCUCUGCGUAUGCUCAGAAACUCAGAAUUUAGCUGCUACUUAUGUGUUAGCUCCAUUCUCUCUGGUGUGUGACUGAGAGAACACGCCAGUGUUCUUACUGACAGAGGCUUAGGGGUGACCCUCUCUGGACCCAGAGGAAGUACAACCUCUGUAGCGAGAAUUGUCCUUGGGAACAGAAACAGGCAUUCCUCCACAGUGAGUGGCUCCCCCUAUUUUUUUUUUAUUUGGAAGAGACCAAGAAUUGGGGGAAUUGAUUUCCAGUCUUAGCUGUUUCCCGGAAUGUCAUCUGUGCAGGCAGGUAGGCGGCUGCCGGGUGCAGCAGGCAGCGUGACUGAUGUGAAGGCCGCCCAAUCCUCACGUGCUAAGACCCGAGUAUCGUGUUUAAUUGCAGUGUAGGCACGUCGCCAUUCAAACUCAGUUCUGGGGUGGUUUUGCAUAAAGUUUUGCCAACGUGUUCUUUUUUCUGUAUGUAUUAUUGCCUUUUUAUAAAAGGUGUUGAAGUAUUGUCUCAGUGAUAAAAAGAGAGAGAUGUUAAUGGUUGUUGUAUAUUUCACCGUAUCCAAUUGUAAGUAUUUGCAGGGUACAGCAGAGCCUUAGCUUGCAAGAGCGUUUGUGCAGGAGGUGUCCCUCAACACCCAGGAGCUGAAGGGAUUGGAAAGGUUUGGAUUCUUUGUAAAUGUCCUGCUUUUCUUUCUCUCUGUGUGUAUCUAUUUACAUGCCUUAGCACACGCCCUCCCAUCCUGAUCCCUUUGCCCUGUCGCCGGAACAACCAGAAUGCUGGUGCGCUGCCGGCACAGUACAAGUUGAUGAAACCCUAAUCAGUUAUCUUGUGUGACAGGGGAAGAAGAGAAACUCCAUAGUAUUCCUUGUAGAAUAUACAUACCUGUAGGAUGCUGUGUAAUGGGAAACCAUAGAAUUGGGCUUUUGUCAUUUCAAAGUUGGAGAAAUGUAUGAAUAAAAUGUAUAAAACAUG